UGGGAGAGGACGUGUGUGAGACGCGCUCAGGGCUGACGUCCCAUUGUUUAUAUUUCACAUUUAAUAAUGCUUGUGUCUGUGUCAGAAGUUGGAAGCAAUGAAGUGUGAUUUUUCGUUUCGCCGUGAUACGAUGAAAAGCUUCAUUUCUCCAACCUUAGUGAAUGUGAAAACUAAAUGAGUGAGAAAAAAAAAAAAAACUUUUAGUAAGAUAG